GAAAGCAGAGACAAAGAGCAAGGCAAUGAUGAUGAAGCUAACAUGAGGUAAACAAAUACAAACGUGGAAUUAACCUUCAUUUAGACCUCCCCCAACUCAGGAAACAGCUGGGGUGCUAGGGAAACAUGAUUACUGCUCUAUCGUGGUAGUGCUGAACUUACCAAUGUUAAAAGUUAUUUUGCUGUUUUGCAGGGCAUGAUUCUGUGUGUGGAGUGAGUGUGCACAGAGAUGGGCAGUAUUUCUGUUACAUGUAUUUGAAAUAUAUAUUUCAAUUACUUUUAAGAAUUUUGUAAUUCUUAUAACACUGGGCUGAACUACACUCCAAUGUAUUUUGUUACAAGAUACUUUCGAGAGCUGUAUUUUGUAUUUUCAAAAUGCAAUUUAUGUUCACCAUUUGGUGGCCCCCUUUCACCCUACAUUGGUAUCAGAAGUCUGAUGGCACUAUGGUGUGAUGAGAGCAUCCGCUAUAAAUGAACUAACUAUAAAUGUACAUAUAUUUAAAAAUGAACAAUUGCAAAGCAUGCUGAGUAUUAUUUGACUGAGCUCCGCCCCGAACAAAGCCAAUAAUUAAUACCUAGUGUAUUUUGCAGUUCAUUUUGGUAUGUUCAUUUUCACAUAUACAUUUACAUUUUGGCCAUUCCAGAGUGACUUACUAUUUACAGUCAGUGCAUUUAACUAAGGUAGAUAAACAACAACAUAUCACAGUCACAGCAAGAAAACGUUUCUGUAACCUUCACUGAGAAUGUUGUUGCUGUUUAGGCCGGCUACUUGCAAAUGUAUUUCUGUAUUUUAAAAUACAAAAUACAUGUAUUUGAAUAAAAUACAUUAAAAAUGUACUUUUAUUUUGUCGUUUAUUUUGAUACAUUCAUCUUUAUGGUAUUUUGUGCUUUAAUUUUGUAAUUGUAUUUUGUCAUUUUUGCCCAUCGUUGAGUGUGCAUUUGUGUGUCUAUCCUACUUUGAACCCUGGACAGCUAUAGUGUAACUCUUCAACCAACUAUCUCUUCAACUCACUAUGUUAUUUUUUGACAUGUAACACACUGGGCUUGCCGUCUGGGCUGUAAGCGUGUGUAUCAUAACCUUUACCGACCCGACCAAAAUGUGAGUUGUUCAGCUUCUUGGAUUUAUAAAAUCAGACAGAAUCAAUACAACAUAUUAACACCUCACUGUGUGAGAUCCUAGAUGAGAUUAACUGUUGCUGUUUUUAAUAACAAUAACAUAGCUUCUUCUUCUGUCUUCAGGUUCGAGAAAGAGCUGCUGAACAUUUCAAGUCAAUUCUACUGGCCUGUUGCUGUAAGCUUAGACUACACUCCUCCUGAAGUCUAAUGAUUGACAGAUAUCUACAUUCUGAAAUCAAACGGAAUGCCAGUGUACCAUUUACUGCACUCGAGUGAUCUUUAGUAUCCUUAUCUUUACAGUAGUCAGCCAACAACCUUUCCACCAUAAUGUUCUGGGUCAGGUUCUUGGUUCUGGCCCUCCUGUCUCAGGCUGGUGUGACCCAGACUUCCUCUAGUCCAACCCAUGCCUCUGCGCCCCCUAACCCCACUGAGGAGCAGCCUCCCUUGAAUUCGGGAAGCCUCUCAUUCCCUUGGAGCCACCUCCGUCUUCCGGAGGACAUUGUUCCGCUCCACUACCAUCUCCUGCUCCACCCUAACCUCACCAUACUCAGCUACAUCGGUACCGUCAUGAUAGAGCUCCAGGUUCAGAACAAUACCAACUGGGUGGUGCUGCAGAGCAAGGGGCUUCGUAUCACUACGGCAACUGUGCUGAACCAGAACCUUGCUCACCUGUCAGACCAGGUUCUCCCUGUUCUCCACAACCCUACCUAUGAGCAGGUUGCCAUAUUCUCUCCCAGAGUGCUCACUGGUGGGCAGAAGUACUUCCUGUUACUGGAGUUUGGGGCGGAGCUAGGAGAGGGCUUCUAUGGCUUCUACAGGAGCACCUACAGAACCAGCACCGGAGAGACGCGACCUGGUGGCUAUCCCAGACUUUCAGGCCGGAGCAAUGGAGAACUGGGGUCUGAUCACCUUCAGAGACACGAGCCUGCUCUACGACCCCACCACCUCCUCAGCCUCCGAUAGGCUCUGGGUUACCAAGGUGAUCGCCCAUGAGCUCGCCCACCAGUGGUGGAAUGACAUCUGGCUGAACGAGGGCUUGGCCACAUACAUGGAGUACAUCUCAGUGGACACCACAUACCCCUAACUCAGUGGAGGACUAUCUUCUGGACACCUGCUUCGUUGCGAUUGGUCGAGACUCUCUAAACUCCUCCCGCCCCAUCUCCAGUGUAGCUGAAAGCCCUACACAGAUUAAAGAAAUGUUCGACACAGUAUCCUACAAUAAGGGGGCAUGUGUCCUGCACAUGCUAAGACACUACCUGACUGACCAAGUGUUCCAGAUUGGAAUCAUGCGUUACCUUCGCAGGUACAGCUACAACAGCAACGCUCGCAACCAGGACCUGUGGGACAGCCUGGCCAACGUUCGUAGAUCGAUCAAAUGAUACAUCGUUUUUUGAUCCCUGCAGGCUGCUUUAGUAUGUAAAUGUGAACUGCUGUGUUGUUGUUCUCAGACAUGUUCAGAAGAGGAGUUCACUUCUGGAGGACACUGCUACAGCAAAAGCCAGGCAGCUAAGAACUCAGUAAACACACCUCUCUGUACAAAUGUUUUUGUUGAAUUUGGUUAAGAUGUUUGAUAAUAAAAUGUUGUGAAAGUAUUAUUUGAAGAGCAGUAAGUAGGCCAAGAUCAUGUUGAAUUACACAGAGUAAAAGCAAAUGAAAUACAAACAGAAAACCAUUUUUAGCUGUGAAUGUAGGAGUGGUCUGAAAAUGCUAAAACAUCACAGGACAGAAUGAAGCUUGACUCCUGCCUGGCCUCACACACUACAACCUCACAGGAGCAGACUGCUGAUCAUUUAGUGUGAAACAGAUGUGUGUAAACAUAUUGUAAUGGACACAUACAGAUCUGCUAUCUUAAUUUGAUCACUGUUAUCAGCAGAACAUUUGAAUGUGCAGCAGGAUAUGCUAAUUGUAGUGUAUUCAAGGUUUAAAAAGGCUAGUAAAGUUAGCAAUUUCCACUUUUAAAUGUCAGACUUGAUUUCCCCUAUCAAAACAUUUAUCAACAAAAAUGUACAUGAAUGUACAUGAAUUAUAAUCCACAUGAAUUCACAUUUCCUGUUGCUGCAUGAUUAUUGUCCUGCUGUCAGAAACAGGGUCAAACUAAGAUCUGUUUCUAUGUUGAGAGUUGGUUUAGUUGGUUUCCAAAAGACAGAAGUCUUUCACCUAUAGCAGGGGUGUCAAACUCAAAUACCCAGUGGGCCAAAAUGUAAAACCUGAACAAAGUCACGGGCCAAAAUUGAACAAAUUAACCUUUUAAUAUGGACCCAAACAAGUUUUGCUUUAACAUUGAAUAUGGAACAAGCAUCGCUUAUUACCAUACAAUAUAUCAUUUAAUAGUGGAGACAUGCAAAAUCGAAUUUCAAAUGAAAAAACACAUCAACGGCAUUCAUUUAUGAAAUAAAUCAAAUUUA